UGGAGCGGGUGCUGGUGAAACUCCUGGUGCUGCUGGACCGAGUGGAAGCCCAACUGAUAGCCCGACUGAAUCAGAAGAAAGUUCCAAGGAUGAAAGCUCCAAGGAUGAAAGCUCCAAAGAUGAAAGCUCUAAGGAUGAAAGUUCCAAGGAUGAAAGCUCUAAAGAUGAAAGCUCCAAGGAUGAAAGCUCUAAGGAUGACAGCUCCAAGGAUGAAAGCUCCAAAGAUGAAAACUCCAAAGAUGAAAGCUCCAAAGAUGAAAGCUCUAAGGAUGAAAGCUCCAAAGAUGAAAGCUCUAAGGAUGAAAGCUCCAAAGAUGAAAGCUCUAAGGAUGAAAGCUCAAAAGAUGAGAGCUCAAAAGAUGAAAGCUCCAAGGAUGAAAGCUCAAAAGAUGAAAGCUCCAAGGAUGAAAGCUCCAAGGAUGAGAGCUCAAAAGAUGAAAGCUCUAAGGAUGAAAGCUCCAAAGGUGAAAGCUCAGCUGAAUCAGGAGAAAGUUCCAAGGAAGCUAGUGGUGGAAGCUCUACUGAGACCCAAAGUGAAACUGGUGCCGAAAGUGGAAGCACUGCCGGUGGUCCUAGUGGUGAACCCUCUGGCGAUGCUGGUGCCGGUGCUCCAAGCGGAAGUACAUCUGAUAUGUCGGCAGGAGGAGCAAGUGCUUCAGGCGGUGCGAGUGAAACUUCAACUCAAACCUCUGCCGAAGGAGAAAGCUCAAUGAAUAGUGGAGGUUCCUACGCGGACACUACAGGUGGUAGCGCGGAAGGUUCCGCCAGUAGCCCUUCUGGUUCAGCGUCGGGUAGUAGUGAGACCUCCUCCAUCACCGGAAGUGAAAAUUCAUCUUACCAAGCUGGAGGAUCAUCUGCCGGAGGCCCGAGUGGAAGUACAACGGAACAAAGUUCGGAGGCUGGAGCUGCGGGUUCAACCGAAGGUGGUAGUGGAGCCUCAGUAAAUCAAUCUGUCAAAGGAAAAGUGGGGGCAACGAGCUAUGAAGGUUCUUCUAGCUACAAAAAGUCACACUCACAAACCUCAGAGUCAGGCCAGAGCAGCUUCAAAACAGAGAAAAAAGCCGGCUCGUCUUAAAUUAAACUCGUCGGUUCUCGGACCAUAUAGGUCGGAAACACAUAUUAAUACUAUAAUUACAAUAAAGCAAUGGCCCUGCUAACAAUUACAGCAGCGAGCUGUAGAAUGUUUUUUGCUAAAUACUAGAGAAUUACUGACAUGCGUUAGCCUUACUGCAUGCAUAAUUUUGGUUUUUUUUUUCUCUCUUUAAUUUCCGUUGUAAAAUAUGAAUAUAAAAGAAUUGUGAGUAUGUAUACAUGACACAUUAAAUAGUGAGAAAGUAAUAAUAAUAAUAAUAAUUUAUAUGCAUAUCCUAUCAAAUUUUUUGUUCAGUCUCCUCUUUUUAUUUUUUUCUUUUAAGUUUAACAUUUCCCAAAUUAAAAUAUUCUUCAUGUGAACUUCUCUUUAUAUGCAUAUAUCAUAAGAAAUCGUUCUCCAGCUUUAACAAGAACCCAAUGGCUCUAUUAGAGAUGUACCGCCCU
rnacentral:lncRNA from 1 species